GUGUCAGCCGCCGCGGUAAAACGUAGGACGCAAGCGUUAUCCGGAAUUACUGGGCGUAAAGCGCGUGUAGGUGGUUUUAUAAGUCACUGUUGAAAGCUCCCGGCUAAACUGGGAGAGGUGCGGUGAGACUGUAAAGCUAGAGUAUGGGAGAGGGAUGCAGAAUUCCGGGUGUAGUGGUGAAAUGCGUAGAGAUCCGGAGGAAUACCAGAGGCGAAGGCGGCAUCCUGGCCUAAAACUGACACUGAGACGCGAAAGCAUGGGGAGCGAACGGGAUUAGAAACCCCGGUAGUCC
rnacentral:rRNA from 1 species